CAUGUGACAAUUGUGACAGCCUGAACUGAGCCAGUGACAGGAAGAUGGAGGCUCUCUUAAGAGAGAUGCCAGCAACGAUGGAGAAAGUGGAGAAGACAAUUUUAGAUGUACGCCAAAAUUAAAACUGCACAGCCGCGGGAAGAAAAUGAACUACAUUUACUUCCCUUCCAAGCUUACUGGUAUCUGAAGUUAGAAAUGCUUGAGACGGCAUCCGAGACUUUGGAAUUGAUUAUGGUGACGUCAUCUAGCACCAUCCUACUACAGAAGUUCUCUGGGCCCUGCUGUCAGGCGUGGAGCCAGCUGGAACCAACGAACAAAGAGAUUAUCGUGUAGUGUGUGGGGUGACAAGCCCGAUCCUUGGUGCAUGGAGGAUCUGGACUUGAAGACUGCCUUCACUAACAACUGCACAGCUUUGAGCUCAAGCACAAUCAGAAUUAAGUGAAAUUGCUGCGGCGGGAAACCAGCUUCAAUAGUCCAUCACUGGGAAAAGGCUCUCAAAUCCUUGUCUAUCACGUGCCUUUACCCAAGAGGGAAGAAAACGCGCUCCUCUACAGACUGUGCACUGGCAUUGCUGUGCCUCUACUUUAGUCACUAAGGAGCUGGAAACAUCCUAAAUGCCCAUCAGUGGAUGCGUGGAUAAAUGGCUUACCCAGAAAUUUUAUAUCACUCAAGAGAGGAAAGGUACUAUGACCUGGAUGAAUCCCAAAGUAAUUGUUCUGAUAAAA